rnacentral:snRNA from 1 species
AUCGCUUCUCGGCCUUUUGGCUAAGAUCAAAGUAGUAUCUGUUCUUUUCAGCCUCAGACCAAUUAUAGAAGGACCUGUAUCGCACUCAUAGUCACGAACGAAAUAUUAUACUAAAUUAAAAAGUAAAGUUUCUGCCCGUUUUUUACAUAAUUCAAUUACACAAAAAGGUAUUAUUACGGAGCUCUU